GACGAACGCUGGCGGCGUGCCUAAUACAUGCAAGUCGAACGCUUCUUUCCUCCCGAGUGCUUGCACUCAAUUGGAAAGAGGAGUGGCGGACGGGUGAGUAACACGUGGGUAACCUACCCAUCAGAGGGGGAUAACACUUGGAAACAGGUGCUAAUACCGCAUAACAGUUUAUGCCGCAUGGCAUAAGAGUGAAAGGCGCUUUCGGGUGUCGUUGAUGGAUGGACCCGCGGUGCAUUAGCUAGUUGGUGAGGUAACGGCUCACCAAGGCCACGAUGCAUAGCCGACCUGAGAGGGUGAUCGGCCACACUGGGACUGAGACACGGCCCAGACUCCUACGGGAGGCAGCAGUAGGGAAUCUUCGGCAAUGGACGAAAGUCUGACCGAGCAACGCCGCGUGAGUGAAGAAGGUUUUCGGAUCGUAAAACUCUGUUGUUAGAGGAGAACAAGGACGUUAGUAACUGAACGUCCCCUGACGGUAUCUAACCAGAAAGCCACGGCUAACUACGUG
rnacentral:rRNA from 1 species